rnacentral:tRNA from 1 species
GGGGUUGUAGUUUAAUAACAUUUAAUUUGCAAUUAAAAGAUACUAACAAAUAUUAGUCUACCUCA